UACGUAGGUGGCGAGCGUUGUCCGGAUUUACUGGGCGUAAAGGGCGUGCAGGCGGUUUGUUAAGUGCAGGGUGAAAGCUCCCGGCUCAACUGGGAGAGGUCCUUGCAUACUGGCGAACUCGGGGGAGGCAGAGGAAAGUGGAAUUCCCGGUGUAGUGGUGAUAUGCGUAGAUAUCGGGAGGAACACCUGUGGCGAAGGCGGCUUUCUGGGCCUUACCUGACGCUGAGACGCGAAAGCGUGGGGAGCGAACCGG
rnacentral:rRNA from 1 species